GCAGGGCAGUUAUUGUACUAAAUAAAUGGGGACUCUGGGGAGAAGGGAGGAUGGGGACAGAAUUAAUUUUGGGGAAGUGAUUUCUCAUUAAUAGGAACACAAAAGGAGAAAAUGAGGGGAAAUGAAGGAACAAAGGAUAAUAGGCCUGCUGCUUCUCCCCAAAUUUGUGUGAAUAUGUGUGGGAACUGCCGGCAUCCGGGUCUCCCAAAAGAAGGCAACUGCAGCAGAUAAUUUUGCACAAAUUCCUGAAGAUCAAAGUAAAGUCAAGAGAUAAAUGACAUCUGAGAUGACAAGGCAUCUUAGCCACUUGAGAGUCCCAGAGGCAGCCCUAGAGCCAACAACAUGAUUGCCUGUGGAACUGCUAAAGGAUCCAGAUGGCAGCACUGAAAGAAAAACUGCGUGAUGACAAACAUUCAGACAAAGAGUCACCUGUGGCCUAUGUUUUUGUCUGAGUGCUCCUGACAUCAGUGCCAGAGGAAGAAAGAUGAGAAUUAAAAGGAAGAACAUUUUGGAGCUGAGCCCCUCAAUCCCACUCAGAAGAGGACAAGACUGAAGGGACAAUUAGCUGGUGGGCCACAGCAUGCCUCAGUGGACACUGGAGAUAGAGACUCUUACCCUCCCCAUGGCACUACAAACUCUGGGGUGAAAAGCAAUAACUGUUAUACAACCGUGUAGGAUUCAGAGAUUUCAAGUCAGAAGGGAGCACCGUGAUCACCAAGUCCGGUCUCCUGUAUAACACAGACCAUAGAACUUCUCGAAAAUAAUUCCUAGAGGAUGUCUUUUUUUAACAAAUCCAGUCUUGAUUUAAAAAUUGUCAGU